GAAAUGCGAUAAGUAAUGUGAAUUGCAGAAUUCAGUGAAUCAUCGAAUCUUUGAACGCACAUUGCGCCCUCUGGCAUUCCGGGGGGCAUGCCCGUUCGAGCGUCAUUAACACCCCUCAAGCCUGGCUUGGUAUUGGGCGUCGGGACUUCCCCGCGCCCCGAUUUCGCCGGCUGGACGACCCCGAUCUCUCAAGCGUUGUACAAUCUCGCUGGUAGGACGGGCGGCCACGCCGUUAAACCCUUAAUCAAAGUUGACCUCGGAUCGGGUAGGAAUACCCGCUGAACUUAA
rnacentral:misc_RNA from 1 species